CCUACGGGAGGCAGCAGUAGGGAAUAUUGGGCAAUGGGCGAGAGCCUGACCCAGCCAUGCCGCGUGCCGGAUGAAGGCCUUCUGGGUUGUAAACGGCUUUUCUCAGGGAAGAAAAAGCCCAUGCGUGGGACACUGACGGUACCUGAGGAAUAAGCACCGGCUAACUCCGUGCCAGCAGCCGCGGUAAUACGGAGGGUGCAAGCGUUGUCCGGAUUUAUUGGGUUUAAAGGGUGCGUAGGCGGCCCGUUAAGUCCGGGGUGAAAGCCCACAGCUCAACUGUGGAACUGCCCUGGAUACUGGCGGGCUUGAGUCCAGACGAGGUUGGCGGAAUGGAUGGUGUAGCGGUGAAAUGCAUAGAUACCAUCCAGAACCCCGAUUGCGUAGGCAGCUGACUAGGCUGGUACUGACGCUGAGGCACGAAAGCGUGGGGAGCGAACAGGAUUAGAUACCCUGGUAGUCCACGCCGUAAACGAUGGAUACUCGCUGGUGGCGAUAGACAGUCACUGGCUUAGCGAAAGCGGUAAGUAUCCACCUGGGGAGUACGCUCGCAAGAGUGAAACUCAAAUGAAUUGACGG
rnacentral:rRNA from 1 species